rnacentral:rRNA from 1 species
CCUGGGAACUGCGUUNUGAACUGGGUGACUAGAGUGUGUCAGAGGGAGGUAGAAUUCCACGUGUAGCAGUGAAAUGCGUAGAGAUGUGGAGGAAUACCGAUGGCGAAGGCAGCCUCCUGGGAUAACACUGACGUUCAUGUCCGAAAGCGUGGGUAGCAAACAGGAUUAGAUACCCUGGUAGUCCACGCCCUAAACGACGUCGAUUAGCUGUUGGGCAGCAUGACUGCUUAGUAGCGAAGCUAACGCGUGAAAUCGACCGCCUGGGGAGUACGGUCGCAAGAUUAAAACUCAAAGGAAUUGACGGGGACCCGCACAAGCGGUGGAUGAUGUGGAUUAAUUCGAUGCAACGCGAAGAACCUUACCUGGUCUUGACAUGUACGGAACCCUCCAGAGACGGAGGGGUGCCUUCGGGAGCCGUAACACAGGUGCUGCAUGGCUGUCGUCAGCUCGUGUCGUGAGAUGUUGGGUUAAGUCCCGCAACGAGCGCAACCCUUGUCAUUAGUUGCCAUCAUUAAGUUGGGCACUCUAAUGAGACUGCCGGUGACAAGCCGGAGGAAGGUGGGGAUGACGUCAAGUCCUCAUGGCCCUUAUGACCAGGGCUUCACACGUCAUACAAUGGUCGGUACAGAGGGUAGCCAAGCCGCGAGGUGGAGCCAAUCUCACAAAACCGAUCGUAGUCCGGAUUGCACUCUGCAACUCGAGUGCAUGAAGUCGGAAUCGCUAGUAAUCGCAGGUCAGCAUACUGCGGUGAAUACGUUCCCGGGUCUUGUACACACCGCCCGUCACACCAUGGGAGUGGGGGAUACCAGAAGUAGGUAGGGUAACCGCAAGGAGCCCGCUUAC